UUUUCACUGUGUGACAGCGGCUACUACCUCAUCUUUGGCUCUGGAACUAAACUGUAUGUAACAGGUUGUGGAGAAACAAAUGCUGCUAUCCAGAUGACGUCUUAUUGUAGAAGGCCUUUCUUAUUUCACCAAGACAAUGUCAAAGUGCAUUCUGCACGUUUUCCAACAGCAAGGCUCCGUAGUAAAAGACUGAGAACUGACCUGAAAACAGUUGGUGCAUUAUGAUCAAAAAACAACAAGAAAAACUAAGGAGGCCCUGAAAAACCAAAGCUUCUAUCAAGUCAUCAUGGAAAAUAUUUCUCUUUCUAAACUACAACAGCAGUGAGUUGAUAAAAGAAGACGUGAUGAAACACAGUCCACAUGUUUCUGUCCAACUUCUUUGAAACGUGUUGUUGGCUUCAAAUUCAGAACCAGAAAAUAACGUCUUUCCAUUAAAAGUUGAAAUGAUCCAUGUAAUUUCCAGGAUCAGACUGAAUCCAGAGCAGAGCUGGAAGCUGCUGUUGACUGUGUGAAUGUGUGUGUGCUGUCAAACUUCAGAUGAGCAGGUAGUGAAGCCCGUGGUGAGCGUGUACCCAGCAGCAUCCAGAGCCCACCAGGAGGGGAAGAGCUCUCUGCUGUGUCUGGCCUCACACAUGUUUCCUCCUGAGGUCAAGUUCUCCUGGAAAAGACAGAAGGAGGGCGGCUCUCUGGAGGAGCUGACCCCUGCUGAGGGAGAGCAGCUGGAGCUCAGAGAGUCGGGACGCAGAGCCUCCAUCAAGCUGGUGGAUAGAGAUGAUCUCUACACAUAUAAAUACAUCUGCUCCGUCGAGCACGAGGGAGGCACAGUGGAGGCCAAAGCACUACAAGAGGUUCCUCAUGUCUCUCAGUACAAAGUGAAGCUGCUCUGUCUGCAGUACACAGUGCUGAUAGUGAAGAGUCUGGUGUACUGCUGUGGACUCUCUCUGCUGAUGAGCCUCAGAAACAAGGGACCGUCCACCAGCUCCACACAUGCUGACUGACUGUUUUCUGCUCCUCUUUUCUCUCCAUCACAUCUCAUCACUUCAUCUCAUUCAUCACCUUGAUCAGUCUUCAGAAAUGUU